AUUGAACGCUGGCGGCAUGCCUUACACAUGCAAGUCGAACGGUAACAGGUCUUCGGAUGCUGACGAGUGGCGAACGGGUGAGUAAUACAUCGGAACGUGCCCGAGAGUGGGGGAUAACGAGGCGAAAGCUUUGCUAAUACCGCAUACGAUCUCAGGAUGAAAGCAGGGGACCGCAAGGCCUUGCGCUCACGGAGCGGCCGAUGGCAGAUUAGGUAGUUGGUGGGAUAAAAGCUUACCAAGCCGACGAUCUGUAGUUGGUCUGAGAGGACGACCAGCCACACUGGGACUGAGACACGGCCCAGACUCCUACGGGAGGCAGCAGUGGGGAAUUUUGGACAAUGGGCGCAAGCCUGAUCCAGCCAUGCCGCGUGCAGGAUGAAGGCCUUCGGGUUGUAAACUGCUUUUGUACGGAACGAAAAGACUCCUUCUAAUAAAGGGGGUCCAUGACGGUACCGUAAGAAUAAGCACCGGCUAACUACGUGCCAGCAGCCGCAGUAACAC
rnacentral:rRNA from 1 species